UACAGAGGUCCCAAGCGUUGUUCGGAUUCACUGGGCGUAAAGGGUGCGUAGGUGGUGAGGUAAGUCGGAUGUGAAAGCUCCGAGCUCAACUCGGAAAUGGCAUUGGAAACUACCUUGCUCGAGGGUUUGAGGGGGGACUGGAAUACUUGGUGUAGCAGUGAAAUGCGUAGAUAUCAAGUAGAACACCAGUGGCGAAGGCGAGUCCCUGGAAAACUCCUGACAUUGAGGCACGAAAGCUAGGGGAGCAAACAGG
rnacentral:rRNA from 1 species